rnacentral:misc_RNA from 1 species
ACACGUCGCAAGGCAAGGCGCAGGUGGUGAGCAACAUCAAUGCCUGCACGGCGGUGGCGGAUGUCGUGCGGACGACGCUCGGGCCGCGCGGGAUGGACAAACUCAUCCAUGACGACAAGGGGAAUACGACGAUCAGCAACGAUGGAGCUACGAUCAUGAAGCUGCUUGAUAUCGUGCAUCCCGCCGCCAAGCUCCUCGUCGACAUCGCCAAGUCUCAGG